GCCGGUGUAGUUCAAUUGGUUAAAACAGAUUUUUUGUAAAAAUCAGUUAGUGGUUCAAUUCCACUCUCCGGCU